rnacentral:rRNA from 1 species
UGGAGGAAUAUUGGUCAAUGGGCGAGAGCCUGAACCAGCCAAGUAGCGUGAAGGAUGACUGCCUAUGGGUUGUAAACUUCUUUUAUAAAGGAAUAAAGUCGGGUAUGGAUACCCGUUUGCAUGUACUUUAUGAAUAAGGAUCGGCUAACUCGUGCC